GAUGAACGCUGGCGGCGUGCCUAAUACAUGCAAGUCGAGCGAACAGACGAGGAGCUUGCUCCUCUGACGUUAGCGGCGGACGGGUGAGUAACACGUGGAUAACCUACCUAUAAGACUGGGAUAACUUCGGGAAACCGGAGCUAAUACCGGAUAAUAUAUUGAACCGCAUGGUUCAAUAGUGAAAGACGGUUUUGCUGUCACUUAUAGAUGGAUCCGCGCCGCAUUAGCUAGUUGGUAAGGUAACGGCUUACCAAGGCAACGAUGCGUAGCCGACCUGAGAGCGUGAUCGGCCACACUGGAACUGAGACACGGUCCAGACUCCUACGGGAGGCAGCAGUAGGGAAUCUUCCGCAAUGGGCGAAAGCCUGACGGAGCAACGCCGCGUGAGUGAUGAAGGUCUUCGGAUCGUAGAACUCUGUUAUUAGGGAAGAACAAAUGUGUAAGUAACUAUGCACGUCUUGACGGUACCUAAUCAGAAAGCCACGGCUAACUACGUG
rnacentral:rRNA from 1 species